rnacentral:lncRNA from 1 species
GCUUAGAGCCUGCUUCUCCAGCUGUGGCCCCGCACUCCGUGCCUGGGUAUCACACGGGUGAAGGCUUCUGGCCACGCUGCAGACUUGAGUGAGUCUCUAAGAGUCCAGCACAAGAAUCUGCAUUUUGCCAAGUCCCCCAGGUGAUUCUGAAAGCCCAAGAACUGCUGCUACCUGGGCGGGGAUGUUAAGGAUUAGGCCCUGCCUGAGACAGCUUCUGAAAUAUGGAUAGGACCUGAGCAGGAAAAGUGUUCCAGCCAGAACCAUGGAGUGAGGGUGGGAGAGCAUGAUAGGUGCAGGCAACAUUGAAGUAGCACCUACUUUGUGCCAGCCGCCCUUCUAUGUGCACUUACGUAUCAUUUCAUUCCCAUGUCAACCCUAUGAUGUGGGUGCUGUUAAAAUCCUCCCAUUUUCCAGAGGAGGACGCUGAGGCACAGAAGGGUAAGCAGCAAAGCCAGGGCUGAACCCACACAGGGCUGGUGUAUAUGUGGACAGAUAAUGAGAAGUUUUAGCACAUGAGUUUGAAGAUGUUGGGGCUGAUCACAGAAGAGCCUUCAAGGCAGAGCCAAGCCCCACAAAGAAACCAGAAAAUAAAGCUGUCAACAACAAACUCUCUUCCAGCAAGAUGGAAGUGCAUAAACCUCAGAGAUGUUCGAAGGCCUUUCUUCUUUUCUUGCUGGGAAAAGCUCUCCUCUCACCAGGAAGGUUGUGGAUGGUGCCAAUCGGGAGUGAUGAUCAUCACAGAUGGGCAGGCCUUGAACCUCCACAUCUGGAGGUCAAACUGGACCAAAGGUCGAGGAGCCAGGAGGCACACAGGCUCCCAAAUGAGCUUGGACAUGAGCACCAGGCCCUAGAAAUUUCUAGACAAUCACUAGAAGGUAGGGGCCAGAAGAGUCAUACAAAUGGAUUAUCAGAGGGAUCCCUGGGUGGCGCAGCGGUUUGGCGCCUGCCUUUGGCCCAGGGCGCGAUCCUGGAGACCCGGGAUCAAAUCCCACAUCAGGGGAUCCCUGGGUGGCGCAGCGGUUUGGCGCCUGCCUUUGGCCCAGGGCGCGAUCCUGGAGACCCGGGAUCGAAUCCCACAUGGGGCUCCCGGUGCAUGGAGCCUGCUUCUCCCUCUGCCUGUGUCUCUGCGCCUCUCUCUCUCUCUGUGACUAUCAUAAAUAAAUAA